CAUGGGCGAAAGCCUGAUCUAGCCAUGCCGCGUGAGUGACGAAGGCCCUAGGGUCGUAAAGCUCUUUCGCCAGGGAUGAUAAUGACAGUACCUGGUAAAGAAACCCCGGCUAACUCCGUGCCAGCAGCCGCGGUAAUACGGAGGGGGUUAGCGUUGUUCGGAAUUACUGGGCGUAAAGCGCGCGUAGGCGGACUAUUAAGUCAGGGGUGAAAUCCCGGGGCUCAACCCCGGAACUGCCUUUGAUACUGGUAGUCUUGAGUUCGAGAGAGGUGAGUGGAAUUCCGAGUGUAGAGGUGAAAUUCGUAGAUAUUCGGAGGAACACCAGUGGCGAAGGCGGCUCACUGGCUCGAUACUGACGCUGAGGUGCGAAAGCAUGGGGAGCAAACAGGAUU
rnacentral:rRNA from 1 species